rnacentral:rRNA from 1 species
GCCAGACUCCUACGGGAGGCAGCAGUGGGGAAUAUUGCACAAUGGGGGAAACCCUGAUGCAGCGACGCCGCGUGAGUGAAGAAGUAUUUCGGUAUGUAAAGCUCUAUCAGCAGGGAAGAAAAUGACGGUACCUGAUUAAGAAGCCCCGGCUAACUACGUGCCAGCAGCCGCGGUAAUACGUAGGGGGCAAGCGUUAUCCGGAUUUACUGGGUGUAAAGGGAGCGUAGACGGUGAUGCAAGUCAGAAGUGAAAGCCCGGGGCUCAACUCCGGGACUGCUUUUGAAACUGUGUGACUGGAGUGCAGGAGAGGUAAGCGGAAUUCCUGGUGUAGCGGUGAAAUGCGUAGAUAUCAGGAGGAACACCAGUGGCGAAGGCGGCUUACUGGACUGUAACUGACGUUGAGGCUCGAAAGCGUGGGGAGCAAACAGGAUUAGAUACCCUCGUAG